CAGUCGCCACGGUAAUACAGAGGGUGCGAGCGUUAAUCGGAUUUACUGGGCGUAAAGCGUGCGUAGGCGGCUUUUUAAGUCGGAUGUGAAAUCCCUGAGCUUAACUUAGGAAUUGCAUUCGAUACUGGGAAGCUAGAGUAUGGGAGAGGAUGGUAGAAUUCCAGGUGUAGCGGUGAAAUGCGUAAAGAUCUGGAGGAAUACCGAUGGCGAAGGCAGCCAUCUGGCCUAAUACUGACGCUGAGGUACGAAAGCAUGGGGAGCAAACAGGAUUAGAUACCCCAGUAGUCCCUGUCUCUUAUAC
rnacentral:rRNA from 1 species